rnacentral:lncRNA from 1 species
GGGGGCGCGCGGCGCUGGCGCUGGCGCAGGCCGGCCGCGCAGCCGCGGUUCCUACCUGGUAGCUGCUGAGGUCGUGGUUGUGGCGCUCCUCGAUGUCGCUGAGCUGCCGCUCCAGGGACUCCUUAGUGCCUCGCACCGACUCGAGCUCGAUGCUCUUGGACUGCAGCUGGCGCCGGUACUCGGCGAUCUCUUCCUUGGCAGAGCGAAUGGCCUCCUUGUUCUGCUCGGCCGCCUCGGUGAGCUUGGCGUAGCGGCAUUUGAACCACUCUUCGGCCUGGUGCAUGUUCUGGUCUGAGUGACACUCGAGCUGGGAGCGGAUCUCCUUCAGCGCCGUGGAGAUGUCUGUCUUCAGGUAAUCUUUGCGCUCUACCGUGAUGUGCGACGCCUGGAUCUGAGCCAGCAGGUCGGCCACCUCCUCUUCGUGAUUGCUCCGCAGGAAAGCCACCUCAUCCUGCAGCGACUGCACCUUCUUGUCCAGCUCCACCUUAACCAUCGACGACUCUUCGAUGUCUUUGCGCAGCGCGCGAAUGGCAGCCUCGGUGUCGUCCCGCAGCCGCGCCUCCUCCUCGAAGCGCUCCUUGAGCCGGUGGAUGUCUUCCUCCAAGUGAUCGGAGUCCAGCUGCACUUGAGCCUUCUCGUGGUUCACCAUCUCGAGGGUGGCGCGCAGCUCUCGGAUCUCCUGGUCGUAAGCAUCACCCAGCUGGGCGUGCGAGGCCUGCUUCUGCCGCAGUGCCUGGAUCUCUGCUUCGAUCUCCUUGUUCUGUUGUUCCAAGUAGUGCACUUUCUCGAUGUAGCCGGCGAAGCGGUCGUUCAGCCCCUGCAGCUGCUCUUUCUCGUUAGAGCGGGACAGUUUGUAGUCGCCGCCGGAGCCGCCGUUGAGCAGCGACGAGGACUGGCUGAAGUCGAGGCUGCUCUCGGCCGAGCUGAGCAUAGCCGAGCUGUAGGCGAGACGCGGGGCGAGCGCGCUGCGCUUGUAGGAGGAGGACACGGUGCUGGGCGAGCCGCGGGACCAGGACUGCGAGCGGAAGCCGCUGGACGGGGAACCGCUCACGCGGCUGAAGCUGGAGCGGGUCUCGGUGACCCGCCGGUAGGCGGACGGGUUGCCCAGCGAGUCCAGCGUGUAGCUCAUCUUGGAGGCCUUGGGGUGUGUGGCUGUCACAGCGUUCUGCCGGCCUCGCCGCAGCCCCUUUAUAGCGGAGCAGCUGGUCCCGGGCCAGGGCCCCGCCCCGUGGAGGCGGCGGCCGAGGAGGCGGGGACUGCGGGUACCGGGCCGGGGGUGGGGGGAAGGGGGAGACAAGCCUUGCGGUGAUUCAGCGGCCGCUCCACGUGGGCCCGCACCACACUGGACCCCACACUUGGGUGUCGCCGGGCCGGCCUUUUCCUAGCGUCCCCUUGAGUUCCAGACCUCUUGUCACCCGGUAGCUUGCCCUUCUCUGCUUUUUCACCAGCAGUUUGCAGUUCACAGCUUUGGCGCAAGUGCCCUUUCCCAGCGCCCUUUCUUUGUCUCGCCACUCUCGGCCCUCUGAGCAGCUCUUCUCUGGCUUCCUGACUUUCGUCUGGCCCCCUACCUCUUAGUCUCUUUCUUCCUUACUUUUGGCCGUAGGGUCCGCUGUUCUUUAUCACACACACCCCUCCCACCUCUCCACGAGGCCCUUCUCCCUCUACUUUUUUUUUUUUUUCUUCAUCCGGCAUUUCCCUUGAAGCCCUUUCCCCUGGGACUUUUUUUCUUUGCAGCCUCGACUUUCACCCCUUAACCCCCAACUCUCUUUUUGUUCCCCCAUCCAUCCUUGUCUUUCUUGUCUCCCCCCCCCCCCACUCCUCGUCUUAAAGCAGCAAGAGAUGAGCUGAGAGUUAUGCAGAAGAAAAAAAAGAGAGAGUUUUUGAGGAAUGGCCCGCCGGAAACCUCCGGAAAGGGGACAAAGAAGACAGGCCGGGGUAGUCAUUUGUGUUAAAAGUGGAAAGUGGCACUCCAGUCUGCUUAACUGUUGGGGGACGACUGCAGCUUCCAGCAGUUGAUCAAAUUGACCGAAAGGUUUGUUCAAGACCACACACCUUCCAAGUGGUGGUGCUGGGACCAGGCUCAGCUCUUCUGGUGGCACUGGUAACAUUACACAACUCCCUCAGUAGACUGCCAGAUCCGGUCUCCAGCUGGAACCUUCAACACAAAUGUGAACGCUGCAGAGAGGAACGUCGUGGUAAUGUGGCUACGAGAGUUACUGAUCAUUUACGUGUAUCCAGUGUGUUAAAUGUUUGGCCCCAAACUUCCCUGAGUCUUAUUCAAUCAACACAAUUUCCUCAAGAUGACCUUGUUAUCAUCUCCAUUUUUAUAGAAAAAAAAAAAGCAAUCAAGUACAGAGACACAAAGAAGUUAAAUAUACACAUAACCGCAAGGUCAUUAGAAGGUCAUUGUUUCCAACUUUAAAAGCAAUCUCUCAUUUUAAAUAUCUCUCAUUAGUGCCUAAUUGUCAUGCCACGUUAAAAACACUCAGGCAAUGUUAUGCAUACAUAUUCUUCCCCCUUCUGCAAUUAAUAUCAAAAGACUUUAAUUUCUCAGAUGACUAUUUUUUUAUUGUUUCAUUUGUGACUUUAUUAAAGACAUU